rnacentral:rRNA from 1 species
GAGUACGGCCGCAAGGUUAAAACUCAAAUGAAUUGACGGGGGCCCGCACAAGCGGUGGAGCAUGUGGUUUAAUUCGAUGCAACGCGAAGAACCUUACCUGGUCUUGACAUCCACGGAAGUUUUCAGAGAUGAGAAUGUGCCUUCGGGAACCGUGAGACAGGUGCUGCAUGGCUGUCGUCAGCUCGUGUUGUGAAAUGUUGGGUUAAGUCCCGCAACGAGCGCAACCCUUAUCCUUUGUUGCCAGCGGUCCGGCCGGGAACUCAAAGGAGACUGCCAGUGAUAAACUGGAGGAAGGUGGGGAUGACGUCAAGUCAUCAUGGCCCUUACGACCAGGGCUACACACGUGCUACAAUGGCGCAUACAAAGAGAAGCGACCUCGCGAGAGCAAGCGGACCUCAUAAAGUGCGUCGUAGUCCGGAUUGGAGUCUGCAACUCGACUCCAUGAAGUCGGAAUCGCUAGUAAUCGUGGAUCAGAAUGCCACGGUGAAUACGUUCCCGGGCCUUGUACACACCGCCCGUCACACCAUGGGAGUGGGUUGCAAAAGAAGUAGGUAGCUUAACCUUCGGGAGGGCGCUUACCACUUUGUGAUUCAUGACUGGGGUGAAGUCGUAACAAGGUAACCGUAGGGGAACCUGCGGUUGGAUCACCUCCUU